UGGGGAAUAUUGCGCAAUGGGCGGAAGCCUGACGCAGCGACGCCGCGUGAGGGAUGACGGCCUUCGGGUUGUAAACCUCUUUCAGCAGGGACGAAGCUAACGUGACGGUACCUGCAGAAGAAGCGCCGGCUAACUACGUGCCAGCAGCCGCGGUAAUACGUAGGGCGCAAGCGUUGUCCGGAAUUAUUGGGCGUAAAGAGCUCGUAGGCGGUUUGUUGCGUCUGUCGUGAAAGCCCACAGCUUAACUGUGGGUCUGCGGUGGAUACGGGCAGACUAGAGGCAGGUAGGGGAGAAUGGAAUUCCCGGUGUAGCGGUGAAAUGCGCAGAUAUCGGGAGGAACACCGGUGGCGAAGGCGGUUCUCUGGGCCUGUACUGACGCUGAGGAGCGAAAGCGUGGGGAGCGAACAG
rnacentral:rRNA from 1 species